rnacentral:piRNA from 1 species
UGUGAGACGCUGAGCCAGUAGGGUAC